UUCGCCACGCCCGCUCAAGAAACUUAAAGGAAUUGACGGGGGCCCGCACAAGCGGUGGAGCAUGUGGUUUAAUUCGAUGAUACGCGAGGAACCUUACCUGGGCUCAAAUGUAUGUUGACGUAUUCUGAAAGGGAUACUUCUUCGGACAAUAUACAAGGUGCUGCAUGGUUGUCGUCAGCUCGUGCCGUGAGGUGUCGGGUUAAGUCCCGCAACGAGCGCAACCCUUGCCUUUAGUUGCCAGCAGUUCGGCUGGGCACUCUAAAGGGACUGCCGGUGUUAAACCGGAGGAAGGUGGGGAUGACGUCAAGUCCUCAUGGCCUUUAUGACCAGGGCUACACACGUACUACAAUGGCCGAUACAAAGGGCAGCGACACUGCGAGGUGAAGCCAAUCCCGUAAAAUCGGUCUCAGUCCGGAUUGGAGUCUGCAACUCGACUCCAUGAAGUUGGAAUCGCUAGUAAUCGUGGAUCAGCAUGCCACGGUGAAUACGUUCCCGGGCCUU
rnacentral:rRNA from 1 species